GGCCUGCAAGAAAAUGCAAAUUUAAAUUAAAUUUAACUCUUCUUUUUGGCAUAAACUUAAUUUGGGACAUAAUUUUUAGAAGUUUCUCAAGGCAACACAACAGAAAUAUUAGUAAAAAUUACUCUAGAUUUUAGCCUAGCCAGUUAAGGAUAAAUCCCUAGAAUGUUAGAUUAUGGAUAUGUGUUGAAAUAUAUCAAAAUGCAACAUAAAUCAAAUAAAACUAUUACUGAUAUGAUCACAGCUCAAAAAAAUUUCCAUGGCUAACACAGAAACUUUUAACUAUGUGACUUGGGCUUUCAUGGCAAGGUUUUGGUAGUGGCAGGGACUGCAUCUGUUGUGGUGGUGUGUUUUUGUUUAAUAAGUUUAAAUUUUGUUGUACAAGUGGUUUGUUCUGUUUUCCCCUUUGAUGCUGGUUUGUUCCAAGUUGUACCCUCCUCCCUACUGCCAUCAAUCAUUGCAUCCAAACCCCUUUUUACAGUGUCUUCCCUGUCAGUCAUUGUAACCCUACCCCUUCAUCCAAAUACUUCCCUGUCAGUUUUACUUAGUACCUACCCUUUGUUCUAGAAUCUUCCCUGUCAAUCAUAUUGUAUUUGAUACCUCAUUGGAUUAAGUUAACUGUUCCUGCCCCCCAAGCUUUCCCAUUGGUUUGUGCUUUGUAAGCUCCACCUUAAACUCCUCCCCUAAGUCUUCCCUAUUGGUUUAUGAUUUGUAUCCUCCCUUACUCCUCCCCCAUAUAUAAGACGUUGCACAGUGUGCAGCUUUUGUCUUUUGUCCCUGGAUGCUUUGGGAAUUAAGCAUGUGUUUGGAACCCGUACAAAAGACCUUCUCUCAUUCUUGACUCCACACUGUGCCUGACUAGCCUGAAGUGCCAUAGAGCUUUGCUCUAAGCUGCAUGUUGGGUCAUCCUGCUCCCAAGGUAUGUCCCACAACCAAUGCGGAGCUGAGGAAGAGCUAGCUGGCUCUGGUGCUGUGCCAGUCUGUGAGAAGCUGUUUCAUAGGAAGUUUCCCCUAUGUCUGAUGGCAGCUGGAUCUAAGACGGGCCUACCACUGGCCAAGGCUGAGCCCUCCAGCAGUCAUGGCAGGCCAACAGAGUUAAUCAGGGGAAGGAAACCUGCUGAACAGCAACAGCCAGAGAGAAGAGGAGUGAUAAUAUGUGGGAGACGCAGCUGUGACAUCCAAAUCAGUGUAGAAGGAGAGCAUGAGGUGCUCAGGUACUGGAGCUGAGAUUCCCCUGCAGUCCAUGGUACAGCUCAUGGUGAGGCAGCUGUGCCCCUGCAACCACAGAGGUCACAGGAAUGCAGACAUCCACUUGGAGCCUGUGGACAACCACCCCAGAGCAGGUGGGUGCCCAGAGGAGGCUGUGAACCCCUUGGAAUGACCACAAUGGACCAGGCUCCUGGCUGUACUUGUGACCUUGCAGGGUAGAUAAAGUGUGAGUGAAGGAAAUCUGAAGAGAAAGUUAAGGUCCAGAAAGGGAUGAGUGGGGGACAUAUGUUCACAUAUUUUAAUAUUUAGUUUCAGUCAUCAUUACACUACUCUGAUUUGACUGGGCAUAAACUAAAUUAAUUUUCUCUGAGCUUAGUCUGUUGUGGUUGUAAUUGAUGUGCAAUCUUUCUUUGUCCUUAUCUCAUUCCAGGAAUCCUUUGUUAUAUAUUUUGUCUCUCUCCAGCUAAGGAGGGUGCAGCAGUAGAGUGGUUUUGGUGGACACCUACAACACUAUGUCAUCUUGUUCAAAAAACACAGGUUUCAAGAAGUCAUUAGGCCUUCAUUUACUUCAAUGCUCGUCAUAAUCUUCAAUACUCUAAUGUAUUUGGGUAAUUCCAAGGUAAAAGAGAGAUACCGGCUUCCAAGAGGACUUUUUCCUCAUUAAUACCUUCAAGAACAUCUAUGCUUUUCAAACAGAAAAGGGGAAAGAAAUCACCAUGUUGAAUGAUACCUGUACCAGGUGUGUGUGACUGGCAGGGACUGAUAAAAGCAGCCUUCAUGGAGCUCGUCGGGCAAAGUCUGCAGCUCACACAGAAAGCCACGUAUUUCACGUCCAGGUUUUUUAUGUCCGUCAGGUGACGUCUUUCUGAGACAAUUCAAGUACAUGAGAGCAAGAAAGAAUUACUCUAUUAUAUUGUGUACCUUAAUUCAGGCAGCUGUGGUAAUCUGACAGAUGUGUUGAGAUCUACACAUUUUUCAUUUGUUUUAUAUUUUAGAGGCCUAAAAUCCAUGGUCUUAGGAUGACACUUCUGCUAUUAAAGUAGUAUACAGAAGGAAAUAUGGCUGAAAAUGUGUCAUACCUAAAGAUAUAUUCAGUCUGUCACAAUAUCCAAAAUUAUAAAAAUAAUUUGUAAAUUAAUAAACUUCACAGUACCUGUAAGAAAAGGUGACUCUAUCAAGGCCAUUUCACUGUGUUGUGUUAAAGUAAUUUUUUUCCUAGUAAACUUUUUUACUAUAAAAUUCCCUGUGUGAAUCUUCAGGAGAUCAGCAUCUGGUUAGUCUGGCUAAUUUUUCAGAAAGUGAGGAAUUUUAGAGAUAGUUUUUGGAUCAGUUUUUCAAGUAUAUAAUACAGUUUGAUCUUAAUAUGCAUAUUUUCAGUUGUAGUCUGCAGAAAACCUGACUUUAUUUCUUGCAGUUAAACUAGCUAGCUAAACACAGGACACUGCAGGUUUCUUUUAAAAAUAAUUCUUUUUCUAUGGUUGUCUUUGUGCUUCAUAACUAAGGAAAAGUGAAGGAAAUCCAGUCCCUUGUGCAAAUAAAGAGCCUUUUACUUUCAACCCAAAGGCAGAAAUGUAAUGUUUCAUCAGAAAAAAAGUCAGUACCCAGCUGUGCAAUCUUUUUUCUUUAUUGUAAAAGUCUGGGAAGCAUUAAAAAUCAGAUAUUAAACUCAAAGGUCUUGACAAUGUCAGUUUACUCUUCUUGCUAAAAAUAACUUGAAUUAGGCAUAUCAAAUUCGCAAGGAGUAUCCUCUUUGAUGUCCUUUCUACCCAUAAAAUUAUUUCAAGGAAAUCUGUACAAAAUAACAAGCUUUGAUAAACCUCUAAAACUCUGCUGAAAUGCUCAAGUUAUAUUAGAAUUACAUCACUGAAAGGGAAAAGAAACUUCCAUUUGUUGUAUAAGCUUUAUUGGCUCACCUGUUAAAAUUCCACCUUCACUAUAUUUUAUUUUUCUGCUGAUAUUUGCUGGACUACUAAGUACAUUUCUUGUUGACCUAUGCCGUUUACUGUUGUUUAUUACAAAAAGUAAACUGUCUUUCUCUAGAAAGAGACUUACAUUUUCCAUCUACAGCAAAGAUAACAAUAGUUCAGGCAAACACAUACAUUCACGUCUCUACAUUAAAUCAAAGAUCUUCAUGAUCAAACACAACUGUUAUCUUAAAGUUAAUUUUGUAGGUAUGCUGCUUUGCAAAAAUGUAAAAAAAAAAAAUUCUAAAAGUCAGAAUAUUUUUGAUGCUGAACUCUUAUUUAAAGGGAUAAAUUCAGUCUCCUGUUUCUUAGGUUUUUGAUCCCUUAGUCCAACAUACCUGCUGCCAUGGUAGGAUGCUUUGAAAUCUGUCACACAGCGAACCCAAAACGUAAAUUGUGCUCAUCCCCAGUGCUGAGAUGGUGAACUACUGGGAAUGCUAUUUAAUCCCUUUUAUGGUGAUCUAAAUAUCUGCUACACCUACAUAAAUUAGACCAAUUUAGGAACUGGCUAAAUUGGCACGUUGUGGAUCUUGUCUUUUCCUUCCCUUCCUACUUCUUAAUAAUAACUAUGCCAGUGAAAUUUUGCAUUAGAAUAUUCUUCAGUGAUCUUCCACUUAUUUUUAGGUUUACAAGAUAAAAAAACAGUUUCUGUAAUUUUCUUCUCUCCAUUAAAGUAUGUUUGGACCAUGUUCCAAUGUGUCCUGUCUUUUCAACAACACGAUCGUUGCUAUAACAAAUUUUCUAUUUAUGUUUCCACAUAAAGAACUAUAACAGCUUAAAGAAAUACUUCACAGGUUUUUGCAUUGUUGUCUUUGAAAAAAAUCUUCAAUAGAUCACUUGCAGAAGCAUUUCAAGACCCACAUAUAUGUCUCAGAGCUCAUACUGAAGAUUUUUUUUCUGUAUCUUUAUCUAUGCCAACCAUAUAUAUUCUUUCACUAGAGUUGUUUGCCUUCAAUUCAUAGAAGUUGAUAAGCAGUCAAUACAUGCCCUAGCAUUAGCCAUGGUAUGUAAACUGAAUGAGUUUGUGAGUCUUCCACUUAGACACAUUUCUGUAUCUAAAUAGCCGUGUUCAUGUAUUUUGCAUUUUACAAGUUUAUUAGAUCUUUAUAAAUGUUUUCCAAAGGAAUAAAUUCAAGAGAUUAAUACAAUUUAUUUACCCUUGUGG